rnacentral:rRNA from 1 species
CUGCCCUGCACUUCGGGAUAAGUUGGGGUAACUGGGUCUAAUACCGGAUAUGACCUCCGAUCGCAUGGUUGGUGGUGGAAAGAUUUAUCGGUGCAGGAUGGGCCCGCGGCCUAUCAGCUUGUUGGUGGGGUAAUGGCCUACCAAGGCGACGACGGGUAGCCGACCUGAGAGGGUGACCGGCCACACUGGGACUGAGACACGGCCCAGACUCCUACGGGAGGCAGCAGUGGGGAAUAUUGCACAAUGGGCGAAAGCCUGAUGCAGCGACGCCGCGUGAGGGAUGACGGCCUUCGGGUUGUAAACCUCUUUCAGCAGGGACGAAGCGCAAGUGACGGUACCUGCAGAAGAAGCACCGGCUAACUACGUGCCAGCAGCCGCGGUAAUACGUAGGGUGCAAGCGUUGUCCGGAAUUACUGGGCGUAAAGAGUUCGUAGGCGGUUUGUCGCGUCGUUUGUGAAAUCUCACAGCUCAACUGUGAGCUUGCAGGCGAUACGGGCAGACUUGAGUACUGCAGGGGAGACUGGAAUUCCUGGUGUAGCGGUGAAAUGCGCAGAUAUCAGGAGGAACACCGGUGGCGAAGGCGGGUCUCUGGGCAGUAACUGACGCUGAGGAACGAAAGCGUGGGUAGCGAACAGGAUUAGAUACCCUGGUAGUCCACGCCGUAAACGGUGGGCGCUAGGUG